AUGACUGUGUGUGAAAUUUUGGCCACACAAGUGAGCAGCCUGAGGUCAAGGAGAGGAGACAAGUGCUCCACAUCUGCAUCGCAUGAAAACAUUUGGGCACCAGAUCUUCACUGCUGGAGACUUAGGAACAGGUUAAAUAACCAUCUGCCAGAUUGGCAGCACCAUGGGAAACCCAACACUUGGAUGAACAGCAGUGCAUAUGGUGAAUAUGGGGGAAGAAUUCUGAAGCUGUAAUUCAGGUAAGUGAGAGCUGAGAGGGUGGUUGUUUUUUUUUUUUUUUUUUCUUUUUUUUCCUCUCUUUUCCCCCCCCCCCCCCCCCUUUUUUUCUUUUUCUUUUUUUUUUUUUUUUUUCAGCCAAUGGUUUUAUAGUACAUAUCAUCAAGUGCAUAUUAAGCAGAGUUUCUGGACUAAUGCUUUCCAGCCUUGACUCUCAGACUUGGUAACUGUUCCAAAUAGUACUUUAAAAUGUCUUAGCUGUAUAAAUACAAGACCUCAAUGUUACCCUUGUUGACAAAACCAAAAACAAGUUAUAUUAAAAAAAAAAAAAAGUUAAUAUAUAUUUUUAAGUAAUUCUGAAUAUGUACUGGCCAAGGGAAAAAUUAUGUCUAUCGCAUAAAAAGGACUUGAUAUUCUUAAUGGUAUUUUUAAAUUGACUUCCAAUUUGGUAUUAGUCAUGGGUGCAAAAAAAGGCCUCAGGUAAUGACCAUAUAUGUUCAGGUCUAAGGGGUGGAUGUACAGAAGAAAAUCAAGUUAAUCAAGGCAGCAACUUGUUCUGGGCUUGCUGACUUGGGUUAGGGCUCCCUUAAUGUGUCAGAUGAGCUGACCUUAUACAAAGCACUGGGAAAGUUAGGUGUUGCAGGCAGAACAAAGGAGCUGUUUUAUCAUAUAAAGCAAUUGAAAUAAGAUUCAUUCCAUGGUCUGUAAGGGUCACCACAGCAUCCCAUGUGCAGUACAAAGUGGUUUUCCGUGCAGAAGUAUGGAGCUGGAACUGCUCCACGUGAUUUCAAAUACAAAGUGUCUUUGAAUUCAGCGGCUAGAGCUCUGUCUAGUCUGAUUUUAAACUAACCAUCAAUUCACCUUUUUCCCAUUUCCACUGAUUCUUUUGGCAUCUGAUUACAUUUGUUUAAUGAAUCUUUUGUUGUAUAUUAACUAUCCCUUAUUAAGUGCAAAUUUGCAGAGGAUUAAACCAUACAAUAGAUCCACGUUG
rnacentral:lncRNA from 1 species